AUCUUUCUAGUAUCAAAUAGUAUGCGUGACUUCCAAUCACUCGGUCUUGGUUAAACUCCAAGGAAAGAUA
rnacentral:tRNA from 1 species